rnacentral:rRNA from 1 species
UACAGAGGUCUCAAGCGUUGUUCGGAUUCAUUGGGCGUAAAGGGUGUGUAGGUGGCGCCGUAAGUCGGGUGUGAAAUUUCGGAGCUUAACUCCGAAACUGCAUUCGAUACUGCGGUGCUUGAGGACUGGAGAGGAGACUGGAAUUCCUGGUGUAGCGGUGGAAUGCGCAGAUAUCAGGAGGAACACCGAUGGCGAAGGCAGGUCACUGGGCCGCAACUGACGCUGAGGAGCGAAAGCAUGGGGAGCGAACAGG